rnacentral:tRNA from 2 species
GCGGGGGUAUCAAAGCCUGGUCAAAUGAGCAGGACUUAAGAUCCUGUCCCUUAGUGGGUUCGCGUGUUCAAAUCACGUCCCCCGCA